rnacentral:rRNA from 1 species
CCUACGGGAGGCAGCAGUAAGGAAUAUUGGACAAUGGACGCAAGUCUGAUCCAGCCAUGCCGCGUGAAGGAUUAAGGCCCUCUGGGUUGUAAACUUCUUUUAUAGGGGACGAAAAAAGGGCUUUCUAGCUCGACUGACGGUACCCUAUGAAUAAGCACCGGCUAACUCCGUGCCAGCAGCCGCGGUAAUACGGAGGGUGCAAGCGUUAUCCGGAUUCACUGGGUUUAAAGGGUGCGUAGGCGGGCAUUUAAGUCAGUGGUGAAAUCUUCGAGCUCAACUCGGAAACUGCCAUUGAUACUAUUUGUCUUGAAUAUUGUGGAGGUGAGCGGAAUAUGUCAUGUAGCGGUGAAAUGCUUAGAUAUGACAUAGAACACCGAUUGCGAAGGCAGCUCGCUACACAAAUAUUGACGCUGAGGCACGAAAGCGUGGGGAUCAAACAGGAUUAGAUACCCUGGUAGUCCACGCCCUAAACUAUGGAUACUCGACAUUUGCGAUACACAGUAAGUGUCUGAGCGAAAGCAUUAAGUAUCCCACCUGGGAAGUACGACCGCAAGGUUGAAACUUAANAGAAUUGACGNNGAGAGNGCGAGACGACGACGAGGGAGAGG